ACGUUCCAAGCGUGUCCUUCCCACCUGCAGAAGUUGGGCUAAUAAAGGUUAUGACCCCUGACCUCCCCCGCCUUGUGGCUCUCAGAGUGCAUGAGAAAAACGUGCAUGAAAAAAAAUUCUUAUUAAACAGAAUCUAUUUGUGCAUUGUCUAAUUAGUGCCAGAAUGGUGUUUGUUAGGGUUAUGGCUGCGUUUUCAGCUGCAGCAGCCUAAGUGAGGAAAGAAGAUAAAGUUUUGCUCAACUACUACAUGGUCAAACUGUUGUGAUUUUUUUAUAAUCCGAAAAAAGAGACAGUACGUGACCUGAAAUGUUUAGAAAACACAGGGAGAAGGUGAACUGGAAUCUGAGGUAACAGUGCAACCUCCUGUAGCAUAGUUAAGAGGGUGCUAUGAAAAGACACAAUGUGAAUGGAAAUAGGCUUAAGAUGUGUUUUCAGUAAUUUUCCUGCUGGUUAUUGCAUAUUUUUCAAAGUAGGUAUGUUAACUCUGAGCUAUGUAGCUGGGUUUCUUUCAGAUAGUAAAUAUAUCUAUGAAUUGU